UACGAAGGGUGCAAGCGUUACUCGGAAUUACUGGGCGUAAAGCGUGCGUAGGUGGUCUGUUAAGUCUGAUGUGAAAGCCCUGGGCUCAACCUGGGAAUUGCAUUGGAUACUGGCAGGCUAGAGUGCGGUAGAGGGUAGUGGAAUUCCCGGUGUAGCAGUGAAAUGCGUAGAGAUCGGGAGGAACACCAGUGGCGAAGGCGACUACCUGGACCAGCACUGACACUGAGGCACGAAAGCGUAGGGAGCAAACAGG
rnacentral:rRNA from 1 species